GGCAGAGCCUGGAUCCAGAUGGCAGCCUCUCCCUCACUCCAGUGGAGCUUCCAGAGGGGAAGGACCUUUGGCCUCCAGGUUCCCAUCUUCAGACAAAUGCAUCAGUCAUCUACAAGGAGGAGGAAGAAGAACAACAACCUGAGAAAACUGAAGAGCUUCCUGUACACUCCGAAUGGCGGGCACUGGAUAAUGAAAACAUCGGCGCAAUAUCUGCACUGGAACUUCCCUGCUUCCUCUAUGAUGCAGCCGAGAAGAGCAGCAGGAAAAACAGACCAUAGGUUUCUAUGCUGACGACAGCUCUGACAUCAGUACUCUUGGCCGGGCAGGGCCACAUUCUUAGGACCAUGACAGGAUCGAGCCCGGCUUUCCAACCAGUGAUUUACUCUCCCGGCCUGACGGCUACAUACCUAGCAUGGCCCAAGCCCGGCUCUAGCUCACAAAAUUAAAGGUUACCUCGGCCUGGCCCAGUGUAGUGGGCUGUAAAAGUUGACC